CAGACUGAUAUAUUUCUAAUGUUUAUCUAUUUUAAUUGUGAUGAUUAUAACCGACAACUAAUGAAAAUCCCAAAUUCAGUAUCUCAGAAAAUUAGAAUAUUACUUAAGACCAAUACAAAAAAAGGAUUUUUAGAAAUGUUGGCCAACUAAAAAGUAUGAACAUGAAAAGUAUGAGCAUGUACAGCACUCAAUACUUAGUUGGGGCUGCUUUUGCCUGAAUUACUGCAACAAUGCGGCGUGGCAUGGAGUCGAUCAGUCUGUGGCACUGCUCACCCAGAUAGCAAAAAAUAUCCGCACAGCUUCUUUUUGCCGCCGGCCCUAAGCUGUCGGCUAUAGGUGCGUCCUGCUGGCGGGGAUGAAACGUUUGCCACCGAAUACGUCACUCCCAUUUCUUGCGAGAUGCCGCCAGCGGUCCGACUGCUUAAUUUUCUUUGGCGGUUGCCUCGGUCUAAAGGACCACGGUCGUCCGGCGGCAAGACGCUUUUAAAUACAAGGCUACUCUCAAAAUCGACCGGCCAAUGGUUUUGCAUGUUGGGAGUUAAGUGGAACUGACGGCAUUUUUACUACUUUUCACAUUUGAAGCGAUUAUAAAAUCCUAAUAUAUAAUAUGUGAAUUAUAUCAAAUAGUUUUUUUCUCCAAAGCAUAGGGUUUAUUACAGAUUAAAACAGAUUACUAGGGUUUAUAACAUGAUUCCAUGAGAGGUAAGGUUUAGGAAAUUACAUUUAAAUGACUUUGAAACUCUGAAGCGAUUAUACAGUAAUAUAUGUAAAAUAUAUCGAAUUAUUUUAAGCACUUAGGGGGAAAUUGUUUACAUUUAUUUGAUUUAGGCACAAUUAGACAUGCUCCUGGACCCGUCUCUACUGUUGAUGAUGCAUUGGAGUCACUGAGGCUGGCCCCUCCCGUAACAAUAAAACUAGAGUACAUUCGCUUCAGUUCGAUCAAUCGCGAGUUACUACAGCCUUCAGUUGUUAGCUAGCAAAUUCAUCGACAUCGACUACCAGCUUUUAAAUACCUUGACCAGAGAAUAACCCGUUAUCUUCACCCAAGAGACUUACUGUUGGGCUAUCAUUUUGGCGUUAAAGGUAAAUGUCUAACAAUGUCUAGUUACUGGGCCAAAAGGAGAAGAAUAUUGAAAGGAGUUGAGAGGGACAAACAGGAAAUUGCAGCUGCAAACAAUGCUCUAUUUGCUAUUAUUCCCGACUUACUCCCGACUGACCAAGUAAAUCCUCAUGGAAUGGCUACAACAAGCCAUGUACAAACUGUAACCCCUGAAGCACAGGAAACACUUGUUGAUGAGGUAUAUGAACCAGGUGAAAUGUUUUCCUCAAGCACAGAAGAUAGUGAAGAGGAAGAGGAUUGCCUAAGGACACAAUUGGCAGGGAGGGCUAUUGACAACAUGAUCCCCCAUCAUGAAGGGAUGCUGUUUGCCAUUGUUCAGUUUAUUGAUGAGGGGGAUCUGCCGUUUGCAGUGGUUCCGCAAGUGUGGCUCAGCGAGGGCAUGUGCUAUUGGUCCCCAUUUAACCUCCGCAAAAAGGACAAAGGCAACAAUUUAGCCAUCCGCUGCACGCCUCCACACAGCACCUGGGAGAAACAUUUUAAGUUCAUGAAGGGAGCAGAAUCUUGGAAAGAGGUGACAAGAUAUUUGAUGCGCUUCCAAACAGGUUCCUGCGUUGAAACGACGGAUGAUGACAAGAAGGGAAAGCGAAAGAGAAUUUCAAACUCUAAGUACAGACCCCAGGCCUCUUCUGAUAAAGAGGAGUCUUGUCUUCCAGAUGCACCAGCAGUGCUCUCGUUUCGACAACCUCUUUUGAACUUGGAAAACAUUGUUCCCGGUAAUGUUUCAGUGCUGCCCGAUGCUCCAGAAGUUUCAUUGGUUCAAGAAAACCAGGAAAAUGUGGAGCCAUCUGUAGACUUCAGAGCUGUUCGUCAAGUACUAAAAUUUACACCCCCAGCAAAAAAUUUACCCUGGCAGCAAAUGGGUGAAAAGGCUGGAGGAGAAAGUCAUCGCUCCGUUAUUGGCCCUUGGACUCCCCUGGCAUCGCAUGUACAGCAUGAAGUUUUCAGCAAUGAAGAUUUCCAGAACGAGAACCAAGCCGUGAGGGAGGAGAACCAAGCCGUGAGGGAGGAGAACCAAGCCCUGAGGGGAAGCCAUGCACGAGCAGCUUCGGAUGACAGCGGCUCGCUUCAAGAGCAGGUGAAGCAAUUUGGGACAAUGCUGAAGACGUUUGCUCGCACUGGGCAAUCAGAUCAGACCCUAGUGCUGUGACGUCUUGGAGAGUUUGGCGAUGUUGUGCGUAGCAUGGAAAACUAUGCUGCAACAUUUCAGUGCCAAUGUGUCUGUUGGAGAGCUAUCCCUGCCCAGGGGAUCUGUUACUCCCCCUAGACACCCAGGAAGAUUUGGUGUUUCUUGAGAGCAUUUUGAGGCAGGAUAAAGAGCUCCAGGAACGAUUUCUUCGGUUUUUGGCUAUCAAAUGUGGGAGGGACCUGAAGACAACAGUGUGGAGAAUGCUUCAGAGUAUCUUCUCUAAUAACCUUGCCGUUAAUACAACCUGGACUGGUAUAGGGGAUAAAACAUGUUUUAGAGACCUGUUCCUGAAGACCAUUGUUCAAAGGGCCCUCCGGAAGAGUCCGGCAACCCAGGAUGACACUGAUGAGGCGGUCCAGGUUAACGUAACACGUUACCUGAAAGGAGCAUCAGACCGUGAAGGAGGAAAAAGCUGCACAGCUGAGAAGGACCCACAGCCGACCCCUUAAACCUAGGCUGACUACUGACACCCCAGCAUCACUGAACUGGAACACUUUCUUUAUCCUGCAGUCAGUAACAUCAAGAAGCCAGAAGUGCCAGACUACACUCACCAAAUCCACCCUGUUUUCUUUUGUAUUUUAACUUUAGUAUUGGCUUAUUCCAUUCCGUCUUAACGAUUCUAUUAUAGUUUGUAAAUCCUAUUUCAUACCUGUUACUUGAUAUUGCACAUUAACUGGUACCAACAUUCUACUUUCAUUUCAUCACUGUGCUUAACUGUUAUUCAAUUAAUAAUAGCUUGGAAAUACUAUUUCGUACCUCUGAUACUUGAUAUUGCACAUUACCUGGUACCAAAUAUUCUACUUACUCUGUUUUUAACAUCAGCAUUUUUCAUUCCAUCACAGUGCUUAACUGUUAUUCUAUUGUUAAAUAUAGCUUGUAAAUCCUUGUGCCACAGGUCAGCAUUGCAGUUAUAAUGGUCUGUUCUACUACUGUUUUUACCUCUGUAUUUUUAUAUAUGUAUGUCAAGUUUUGUUUAUCACAGAUACAAGAGACACAUCUUAAUGCAGCAUGGUGUAAAUCUUGUGCUCCAGGUCAGCAAUGCCAUUAUAAUGGAAUAUUCUAGAGCUUUACUCAAUGGCUUGAAAAUGUGAUGUUCUACCUCGUUUUAUUUGGUAUCCUGCACAUUCUUUGGUACCAAAUAUCCUCAUUACUUGUUAUGUUUACUGGUAAUUAUUUUCAUCCCAGAGCUGACCUCUAUAUUAUUAACAAUUAUUGUGUUUGUGUUAUAAUUUGCUUGUAUGGCUGUUUUUUUUUUUUAACCAACAUUUUAUUGGAAACCUGCAUGUUCUGUAGUGUGUAUUUAUAUGUUUAUUUUUUUCUGCCUAUUAUUUAUUUCAGUGAUCUGACACAUCUUGUUUGAAUGACCGUUACUGUACUUUGAAAUGUG
ensembl:lncRNA